AUUUCCUUCUUCAGAUGUAUUCAAAUGUGACCCAAAAAUGUGAGAAUGUGUGUGCAACCUCUGAAUACAAGCAUGUGAGGAUAUGGGAUACGAGAGGAACGCUUAUGUGGGUUAUUAGGAGAUUUACUCUAGAGCAUCGACUGACCACAUGCUGGUGAAGACAGAUUCUCUCAGCUCUUCCAAUCUGACAGGUUUUCACAGUAAAACUUCAGACUGUCCAUCUAACAAAGCAGUGGCACUCAAAUGUACAGAUUGUGGACGGGACAGCAGGACCCGAAUCGUGGGAGGAACCACGGUGACCUCUAAGGCAUUUGUGUGGCGGGUCUGUCAUUACACCUUACUGGAUCAUCACAGCGGCUCACUGUGUGCAUGAGGAAGUACUCUCGUUUAGUACAGUCUCGUUUGACAAUUUAUGAUGAACUCUAAUAAAUGACAAACUGGUGUAGGAACUCCGAUGCAAGGGAUUGGACUGUGUAUGCUGGAUAUCUGACUCGUACCGAGAUGCUGUUGGCCACCGGCAAUUCUGUAAGCCGAAUUGUCACGCACAACUUUGAACCGAGGACCAAUGAGAAUGACAUUGCCCUGAUGAAGCUAAACGUCCACUCACGAUUACAUGUAAGAGUGAAUUUUACAAUUUUCCCCCAGCCAAUAAGAAAAUUUCACGAUCAUUUAAUAAUACUGACACGUUAAGUGACAAUAAAUUAAAACAAAGUGUUUUUGUUUCACACUUGAUCUGUGCUGGCAAACUGGAGGGCGGCGUGGACUCCUGUCAGGUCAGAAACACACUCUGUAUAAACACAGUUAGAAGCUGCUUGAUCAUUCAAAAGAGUAAAUUAGAGUAGAGUAAAUGUAAUUUAUGUGCCAAAGGCCAAAUUAAAUAAGUGCUCUUCCACACAGGGGGACAGUGGGGGUCCUCUGGUCACAAAAGAGAAUUCUCUAUGGUGGCUGGUUGGGGACACUAGCUGAGGUGAUGGAUGUGCUUUCAGAAACAAGCCUGGAGUCUACGGAAAUGUGACCUACUUCCUUGACUGGAUAUGUGAACAAAUACAGAGAUAUUAACUUUUUUUAAUAUAAAGAUUUUUGAGAAGAGCAACUGAUCCAAAUCGCUGACUCUCAGGAACUGUGACAGUGUCCAAGAGACUUUUAAUGUAAGAUUUUUUUUUUAUAGUCUUGUUUUUGUUUAUUUUAUUUUUUGCUUUCAUAUAAAUGUUUUCACAUAAAUCUAAAAUAACCAGUUAUUUAUUUUCACCAGUGUCAAUAAUGAAGUGAAUUGCACAUUAUGCUACAAUAUGCACUUUUCUCUCUUUUUUUGUUGUAUGUUUUGUAUAAAGAGCACAAUUGUAAAUUUGUAUAUAAUAUUUGAACAUAUAAAUUUGUAAAAAUG